AGACGGUCAAUUACAUUUUCAGAGAAAAAAACACUGUAUAUUCGGUUGUAUUUAUAUGCAAGAAGUAUAUGAAUAUAUUCUGUUUGGUAUCUUACAACAACUUUCCAGGCGAUUUCAUUUCUGGGUACAAGAUUACGAUGUUCAUCAUGAUUUUCACAUUAAGGAAGAAAGAUGUUUUAAAGAAAGAUGAUCCCUAAAACAGUAUAGAGCCUUUAGAGGUUUUUUGAAAGCUGCCGAAGGAACAGUCAGAAUGGAUUUCUUAUCAAUCAGCAGUCAAAAUGUACAACCUUAGUAAACUCUCUGCAGUAUGUUCCUUUUGAUCCAGAUGCGCUGAUAAAUAACCUUGAUGUUGAAACCAUCAGGCUGGGCUAAGGAUCACAUUUUUUUUGUUUCCACCGCUUGCCACCCAUGACCGAAAUGUUUGCUCUAGCUGCUACAAAAGACCUACAAGAUAUUCAGAAUUUUACCUAUCGAAAGCCACAGCAAGUCAAAAGAUUCAAUUGCAAGUUGGAAAAAAGAAAAGGAAAGAAACAUUCAUGUUAGGGAUCACAUAAAAGAAAC